AUGUGUUGUCUCAAUAAAACAUUAUCAUAUUCCCGUUUUAUGUUUUCUUUAGCUACGACAAAUGAUGCCUAUGAUUAGAAUCCAUCAAUUCCAGGAAACUUCACAUGGCUGAAUGAAAAGUUGUACUGUAUUUCCUUAUGGUAGAUGUUCAAUACCAAUGCUAACAUCAACAAUGUAGGUCAAAGAAAUUUCCAAGAAAUUAUUAUGACAAACCCAAACCGCAGUUUCUAUAAUUAAUUGUUUUUUCGCUCGCCGCAAGGGAAUAACAAAUCAAGUUUGUUGUUUGUAUUUUGGUUUUAAUUUUGGCAUAUUGUUAUCACUAACGCAUUUCUUUAGAAAUUCUACAUUCUUUGGCAUUGACUUUGAA
rnacentral:sRNA from 1 species